rnacentral:rRNA from 1 species
AGCCUGUGGCCACGCCUGUCCGAGGGUCGGCU